rnacentral:lncRNA from 1 species
AAUGGCUCUGGAUGCUAGAAAAUGACAAUGGCCUGGCCAAAUAUCUCAAGAAAUACACUCUCAGCUAAUGUAUAUGGAAAAUGGUCAAUCUCAUUUUUGGCAUGGUUCGAUGGUGGUUAAGGAUAUUUAUAACAAUUUUAGUGUUGAAAUAUUGUUGGUAAUGGCAAGAAUAUUAGAUUCCGGGAGGAUAUCUGGAUGGAUGACUU